CCGGAACCUCUAUAAAAAUGAUAUGGAUUCUAAGCAAUGAGACCCCAUUAUUAUUAUUAUUAAUAUUAUUUUUUAUUAUAUUAUUAUUAAAAAACAACCAGUCAUUCAGUACAGUGGGGGAAUCUUAACCAUAUUUUUUUUUCUGAUAUUGAAUCUUAAUGUCAGUGACAGAACUAGAUCCUAUGUACUGAUUAAAGGUGAAUGGGCUUAUUGUGAAGAAGCAUGCAACGGGGAAUUACCCAAUCAGAAAGCACCAGAACAUAUUGCAAGCUCUGCAUUUAACAGCUUGUGGGACAGCAGGAUUUUCCAUUUUAAACCUUGGGAAGCAGGUCAUUGCCACACAUAUUCUCCGAAUGAAACCUUUCUGCCCAACACUCCUGGACACUUCUAUGGGUUCCUGGGAGACAAAGCACUCAACCUUAGUGUGUUAGAAUUCUAUGGGUAUGAUGUCUACUUACAUUCAUCUAAGCAUUUUUGGGCCUCUGACAUAUUAGGAGAAAUUGGACAAGCAGACAAAAUACUGCUGAAUGUGGGAGAAUAUAUAAAGGUAGAAUUUGAGCGAGAAAUAGAAACCCGACUAUCCGAAGUAUUUAACUGCAUUGAAGACAAGGAAAGUGUUACAUGACAAAUAAUUUUAAAUAAUUAAAAAGAACAAUUUACUUUAGGACUACAGCUUUACAGAUUGUGUAUUUGAGUUUAUAUUUGAACAGACAGGAUGCAAACUUGAUUGGUUUUCUGAUGCUUCUGCUAACGUUCCUUUGUGUAGUAGUGCAGACCAAAUUAAAAGGCUAUAUGAAUUGAUGGACAAAGUAAAUAAAUGGACAUAUAAAAUCAUUUCAAAGAGUUCAGGUUGCUAUUUACCAUGUGUUAAAGAAAUCAUUAGUAUCAAGUCAAUAAAGCGAGAGAAAAUAAAUUGGGACGUGAAUUGGACCUCGGAAUUUUUCCUUGAAUCUUAUUCAGAUCGUGUCAAGGUAACUGAAGAAACCCUUGUCUAUGACGGCUGGGAAUUGAUAAAUGGACUGGGUGGACUCCUAGGUCUUAUUCUUGGAUACUCAAUGUUAUCUUUGUCUGACUAUUUAAUCACUCUUGUAAUCUCCUUUGCCGGGCAGCAUAAAAACUUCUACUGAAUUAACUAGAGAGUCUCAUCUAUAUAUACUUUGCUUGUGUAUUUGUUUGUUUAUAACCAAUUAACGUCAAAACAGCUGAACCGAUCAGGCCCAAUUUUUUUGUGGAACCUCAAAUGACCCCAUGUUUCAUGGGUUAUAAGAAUUUCUAAAGUUUGUCUACAAAACAAAUAAGAUUUUCAUCAAAAUUUGAAAAUACUAAAUUAAUGCAUAAAUAUUUCUGCUAAUUUAUAUCACUUUAGUUGAAAUUUUUGGCUUAGAAUAAUUUGGUUCAUAUCAAAUCAUACAUGUAGGGAUCAUCUAAGGCUCUGUCAUACAGACCAUAGGAUGUGUUUUAUUGCAUGCCUGAAUGUUCUGAGAUCUUAUAUAUUGAAUCUUGCCAAGAUCACAGCAACACCACCAAAUCUAAGCCUUGUCAUUAAAAUUCUGCCAUUUACAUAACUCUUAGUUUCAUUAAUGGUUUGAUUUCUUGAUAGAUAAAAACCUUUCUGUUUUGUGUAUAAUUUGAAAACUAUUUUUUGAAGUCUAACCUGCGCUUUGUUACACAAGACUAUUAUAAACAUUAUAAUCAACACUGUAAUAAUCAUUAUAAUUAUCACUAUGUAAUUGUUUUUGGUCAUUGUCAUAAUCCUUACUAUUAGCAUUAUCAUAAUCAUAAUUGUAAUUUUCAUCCUUAUUAUGCAUUUCAAUGUCAGAACAAUAAAGAAAACUAUCCAAAUUGAAAAUUCCUAGUACAGAGCAAAAAAAUUUCAAAACUCCGAAUAGCUGAAAUUAAUAGAAGUAAUUGUUUUUUUAGAAUUGAUGUUAACCUAAUUGUCAAAAACUCAGAAAAAUAAGUUAAAUAAUAUAAAUAGCAAAAAUGACGUAAAUAAGAAGAUUUUAUCAGUCAC